rnacentral:lncRNA from 1 species
UCUAAGAUUCCUAGGAAUUAACUUAAUGUUCUUUUGUCUUCACAGUUCAUUCAAACCAUCUGCAAAGUUUUGAAAUGAACAAAGGGAAGGAGAACAGCAAUGCAACACAUGUUUUCUGGGAAGUACCGAGGUGCUUCUGUGGCCUGAUUUCCAGAGUUUGCUGAGCAUCAGCACGAUCCCAUUAGGGUAAGUUACCAAGGUCAUGCCAGGAAUCCUAUGCCAGGAAUUGUCCUGACUCCCUGCCCAAUGUUUUAGUGAUGUGUGGAAACAAAAUUAAGAUAUCA